UUGCGGUUAAAAAGCUCGUAGUUGGAUUUCUGUCGAGAACGCGCGGUCCACGCUUUGCGUGAGUAUCUGUGUCGGUCUUGGCAUCCUCUAAAGGAUCGUUUCUGCGCUUGAUUGCGUGGAGCGGAACUUUAGACUUUUACUUUGAGGAAAUUAGAGUGUUCACGGCAGGCAAACGCCUUGAAUACAUUAGCAUGGAAUAAUAACAUAGGGCCUUGGUUCUAUUUUGUUGGUUUCUAGAGCUGAGGCAUGAUUAAUAGGGAUAAUUGGGGGCAUUCGUACUAACGCGUCAGAGGUGGAAUUCUUGGAUUGCGUUAUGACGAACUACUGCGAAAGCAUUUGCCAAGGAUGUUUCAU
rnacentral:rRNA from 1 species